UCCUCCUUAGCUCAGUUGGUUAGAGCAUCUGACUGUUAAUCAGAGGGUCAUCCGUUCAAGUCGGAUAGGGGGAG
rnacentral:tRNA from 1 species